CCCAUUUCCAAUGUCUCGCACACCACCAGCGGGUCCAGGGUGAGUCAAGCAGCCUCCAUUAUAGUCAAUGUCAUUGCUCGUUAAAAUCCUACUCUCUCCCCAUAACCACAGCAGCUUCCACCACCUCCACCAAUCAUUAUGGCAUUCUCAGAGUUUAAGCCACUUAAUGAGAAAUCUUUGAUAGAAUACAUCAAGACCAACCCUGUUUUAUCCAACAAGAUUGGCAACAAUUACGAUGACUUGAAUAUCAAAGAAGUUGGAGACGGGAAUCUCAAUUUUGUGUACAUCGUCGUUGGCUUUGCCGGUUCUUUUGUAAUCAAACAGGCUCUUCCUUACGUACGUAGUAUUGGAGAAUCAUGGCCCAUGACUAAGGAAAGAUCCUAUUUUGAGGCUCUGGCACUUAAAGAACAUGGUCGGUUGUGCCCUGAACAUGUUCCUGAAGUUUAUCAUUUUGACCGUACGAUGUCUUUGAUUGGUAUGCGAUACUUGGAGCCUCCACAUAUUAUUCUAAGAAAAGGGUUAGUUGCUGGAAUUGAGUAUCCUAAUCUAGCAGAACAUAUGUCAGAUUACAUGUCAAAGACUCUUUUUUACACAUCCCUCUUGUAUCGUACCACCACUGAGCACAAACAUGAUGUUGCUGAAUUCUGUGGGAAUGUGGGGCUAUGCAGGCUCACUGAGCAGGUUGUUUUUUCUGACCCAUACAAAGUAUCUCAGUAUAACCGUUGGACUUCUCCUUACCUUGAUCAUGAUGCUGAGGCUAUCCGUGAGGAUAAUGUUUUAAAACUUGAAAUUGCUGAAUUGAAAUCCAAGUUUUGUGAAAGAGCCCAAGCCUUAAUACAUGGAGAUCUCCACACUAGUUCUGUCAUGGUUACUCCUUAUUCAACACAGGUUAUAGAUUCAGAAUUUGCAUUUUAUGGACCAAUGGGUUUUGAUGUGGGAGCUUUCAUAGGAAACUUGAUUUUGGCAUACUUUGCUCAAGAUGGCCAUGCUGAUUUAGUAGAUGACCGAAAAUCAUUUAAAGAGUGGAUUCUGAAGACAAUUGAAGAUUCAUGGAAUCUUUUUCACAAAAAAUUCACUGCACUUUGGAAUAAGCACAAGGAUGGACCUGGUGAGGCAUAUCUUCCAGCAAUUUAUAACAACCCUGAGCUUCAGCAGCUUGUACAGGAAAAAUUCAUGAAAGAUUUGUUCCAUGACACCCUUGGAUUUGGUGCAGCCAAAAUGAUACGGAGAAUUGUUGGUGUAGCCCAUGUUGAGGAUUUUGAAUCAAUUAAAGAUGCAAGCAAACGAGCUGAAUGUGAGAGGCAGGCUCUCAAGAUUGCAAAACUGCUUCUUAAGGAAAGGAGGGGAUUCCAGUCUAUUAAUGAAGUUGUGUCAGCCAUUCGGGCAUAGGAUUCAUGGCAAACUUCUGGGUAAAAAUAUUAAUUAGCUUUGCUACUGAUAUGGUGGUUCAAAAUAUAUGUAGCUUCUUUCAAUCCAUGCUUCAUAUUUCUCUGCAAGAGUAAAUUACUUGAAUCAAAUAACUGUAGUAUAUCGUGUCAGUGUUUCAAAGAAAUAACCCAUACACUACACGUCCCCAUAUCCAUCAAUUAUGAGAACGCAUCUGGUUCUGUUCUAUGUCAGUGUUCUAUGCUUCUCAUUUAUAGAAAUCAUUUUAAUGAAAUUUACUUACAAAUGAAAUAAUU
rnacentral:misc_RNA from 1 species